rnacentral:lncRNA from 1 species
GAUGUCUGAGGAAUAGUCUUAGUGGAUUAUCCCAAACUUGACACAUUUUUUGCAAAAUGCUAUACAAAAAGAAGAUACAUGCGAUUAUGACAAGAUUCUCCACUUGGUGUGACCAGUCUCAUACAACCCAAGGCUGUGUGUCCAAAGGCAACUGUACUUCUGGGACUGGAAACAAAUUGGGAACAUUUUUCAUUGCAUAUUUGGCUCAGAUCUGCCACUUAGUUGAAGUAUAAUCUUCAGCAAGUGACUCAAAAUUUCUGAAUCUCGUUUUCACCAUCAAUACAUGACAAUAGUAAUAUUUUCUCCUUUAAGUAUUUGAAAGUGUUGAGAAAGCCACAAUAGCAACACUUGCAAAAGUGCUCCAUUGUAAAAUGCAAAGGAGAGGUAGUUGUGACCCUUUGGGGAAAACUAUAGUUGCCACAAUUGUCUCUGAAAUGAAGCAUGUUUCUUAGACUGAAGGAAAGCCCUGGGAGAGAUUGGUCUAGCUUUAGGAUGACUGUGGGUAGAGCUUCUAGGGAGAAGAAUGAAACGUAUUCCUCUUUUCCUUUUCUCUAGGAAUACCGGAAAGCAUGUAUUUGUUUGCUAAAUUGCUCUCUUUCCACCAGUGAUAUCAAUUCUGAAAUACUUUUGAGAUCUUGACAAUAAUCAAAAGGUAGCCAGGUGCAUCGG